rnacentral:rRNA from 1 species
GACGAACGCUGGCGGCGUGCUUAACACAUGCAAGUCGAACGGACAGACAGAGAGCUUGCUCUCUUGAAGUUAGUGGCGAACGGGUGAGUAACGCGUAAUCAACCUGCCCUUCAGAGGGGGAUAACAACGGGAAACCGUUGCUAAUACCGCGUCCGAUUCAUGAACGGCAUCGUUUAUGAAUGAUAGGUGGCCUCUAUGUAUAAGCUAUCGCUGAAGGAGGGGCUUGCGUCUGAUUAGCUAGUUGGAGGGGUAACGGCCCACCAAGGCAAUGAUCAGCAGCCGGUCUGAGAGGAUGAACGGCCACAUUGGGACUGAGACACGGCCCAAACUCCUACGGGAGGCAGCAGUGGGGAAUCUUCCGCAAUGGACGAAAGUCUGACGGAGCAACGCCGCGUGAGUGAUGAAGGUCUUCGGAUUGUAAAGCUCUGUUAAUCGGGACGAAAGAGUUCUGCGUGAAUAAUGCAGAAAAGUGACGGUACCGGAAUAGAAAGCCACGGCUAACUACGUGCCAGCAGCCGCAGUAA